AGGACGAACGCUGGCGGCGUGCCUAACACAUGCAAGUCGAACGAGGUCCAUCCGGUAGCAAUACUGGUGAAGAUCAAGUGGCGAACGGGUGAGUAGCACGUGAGCAACCUGCCCCGAAGACCGGGACAACACCGGGAAACCGGUGCUAAUACCGGAUAUCCCCACCGAGUCGCAUGACUUGGUGAGGAAAUGGAUUCCGCUUUGGGAGGGGCUCGCGGCCUAUCAGCUUGUUGGUGAGGUAACGGCUCACCAAGGCUUCGACGGGUAGCUGGUCUGAGAGGACGAUCAGCCACACUGGGACUGAGACACGGCCCAGACUCCUACGGGAGGCAGCAGUGGGGAAUCUUGCACAAUGGGCGAAAGCCUGAUGCAGCAACGCCGCGUGAGGGACGAAGGCUUUCUGAGUUGUAAACCUCUUUCAGCAGGGACGAUUGUGACGGUACCUGCAGAAGAAGCCCGGCCAACUACGUGCCAGCAGCCGCGGUAA
rnacentral:rRNA from 1 species